GGAGAGAUGGUUGAGUGGUUGAUAGCCCCG
rnacentral:tRNA from 1 species